GCCGGCGUGGCGGAAUCGGUAGACGCGCUACGUUCAGGGCGUAGUUCUCGCAAGGGAGUGGGGGUUCAAAUCCCUCCGCCGGCA
rnacentral:tRNA from 1 species